rnacentral:rRNA from 1 species
AUUGAACGCUGGCGGCAGGCUUAACACAUGCAAGUCGAGCGGAGAGACGUAGCUUGCUACUGACCUUAGCGGCGGACGGGUGAGUAAUGCUUAGGAAUCUGCCUAUUAGUGGGGGACAACAUUUCGAUAGAAAUGCUGAUACCGCAUACGUCCGCCGAGAGAUAGCAGGGGAUCUUCGGACCUUGAGCUAAUAGAUAAGCCGAAGUCGGAUUAGCUAGUGGUGGGGGUAAAGGCUGACCAAGGCGACGAUCUGUAGCGGGUCUGAGAGGAUGGGCCGCCACACUGGGACUGAGAAACGGCCCAGACUCCUACGGGAGGCAGCAGUGGGGAAUAUUGGACAAUGGGCGCAAGCCUGAUCCAGCCAUGCCGCGUGUGUGAAGAAGGCCUUAUGGUUGUAAAGAACUUUAAGCGAGGAGGAGGCUACUUUAGAUAAUACCUAGAGAUAGUGGACGUUACUCGCAGAAUAAGCACCGGCUAACUCUGUGCCAGCAGCCGCCGUAAUAC